CCUCAGUGCAGGUAGGGGGAGAUGCAGUGGCACUCACCAUGCACAGUGCAGGUAGGGAGGUGGACCGUACCACUCACCAGUGCAGGUAGGGGGGAGAUGCAGUGGGACUCACCAGGCACAGUGCAGGUAGGGGGGUGGACCGUACCACUCACCAGUGCAGGUAGGGGGGAGAUGCAGUGGGACUCACCAGGCACAGUGCAGGUAGGGGAA